rnacentral:rRNA from 1 species
CCUACGGGUGGCAGCAGUGAGGAAUAUUGGGCAAUGGAGGCAACUCUGACCCAGCCAUGCCGCGUGAGUGAAGAAGGUUUUCGGAUUGUAAAGCUCUUUCGGAUGUGACGAUGAUGACGGUAGCAUCUAAAGAAGCCCCGGCUAACUUCGUGCCAGCAGCCGCGGUAAUACGAAGGGGGCAAGCGUUGUUCGGAAUUACUGGGCGUAAAGGGAGUGUAGGCGGUUUAGUAAGAUAGUGGUGAAAUCCCAGAGCUUAACUUUGGAAUUGCCAUUAUAACUAAUAGACUAGAAUUACAGAGAGGAUAGUGGAAAAACCAGGGGAGAGGUGAAAGUCGUAGAUAUUUGGGAGAAAACCCGUGGCGAAGG